rnacentral:lncRNA from 1 species
UGGCGUCCGGCGUCCGUCGUCCGUCGUCGUCCGUCGUUAACAUUUACAAAAAUCUUCUCCUCUGAAACUACUGGGCUAAUUUCAACCAAACUUGGUUACAAUCAUCAUUGGGGUAUCUAGUUUAAAAAAUUGUGUUCGAUGACCCCGCCAACCAACCAAAAUGGCCGCCAUGGCUAAAAAUAGAACAUGGGGGUAAAAUGCAGUUUUUGGCUUAUAACUCAAAAACCAAAGCAUUUAGAGCAAAUCUGACAUGGGGUAAAAUUGUUUAUCAGGUCAAGAUCUAACUGCCCUGAAAUUUUCAGAUGAAUCGGACAACCCGUUGUUAGGUUGCUGCCUCUGAAUUGGUAAUUUUAAGAAAAUUUUUCCUGUUUUUGGUUAUUAUCUUGAAUAUUAUUAUAGAUAGAGAUAAACUGUAAAUAGAAAAAAUGUUAAACAAAGUAAGAUUUACAAAUAAGUCAGCAGGUCCAAAAUGGUCAGUUGAUCCCUUUAGGAGUUAUUGCCCUUUAAAGUCAAUUUUUAACCAUUUUUCGUAAAUCUUAGUUAUCUUUUACAAAAAUCUUCUCCUCUGAAACUACUGGGACAAAUUUAACCAAAUAUGGCCAAAAUCAUAAUUAGGGUAUCUAGUUUAAAAAUUGUGUCCGGUGACCCGCACAACCAACCAAGAUGGCCGCCAUGGCUAAAAAUAGAACAUAGGGGUAAAAUGCAGUUUUUGGCUUAUAACUCAAAAACCAAAGCAAUUAGAGCAAAUCUGACAAGGAUAAAAGUUGUUUAUUAGGUCAAGAUCUAACUGUCCUGAAAUUUUCAGAUGAAUCGGACAACCCUUUGUUAGGUUGCUGCCCCUGAGUUGGUCAUUUUAAGGAAAUUUUUGCUAUUUUUGGUUAUUUUCUUGAAUAUUAUUAUAGAUAGAGAUAAACUGUAAAUAAAAAAAAUGUUUAGCAUAGUAAGAUUUACAAAUAAGUCAACAGGUCCAAAAUGGUCAGUUGACCCCUUUAGGAGUUAUUGUCCUUUAUAGUCAAUUUUUAACCAUUUUUUUCGUAAAUCUUAGUUAUAUUUUACAAAAAUCUUCUCCUCUGAAACUACUGGGCCAAAUAAAAGCAAACUUGGCCACAAUCAUCAUUGGGGUAUCUAGUUUAAAAAUUGUGUCCAGUGACCCAGCCAACCAACCAAGAUGGCCGCCAUGGCUAAAAAUAGAACAUAGGGGUAAAAUGCAGUUUUGGGCUUAUAACUUAAAAACCAAAGCAUUUAGAGCAAAUCUGACAGUGGAAGAAAUUGUUUAUCAAGUCCAGAUCUAUCUGCUAUAAAAUUUUCAGAUGAAUUGGACAACUGGUUGUUAGGUUGCUGCCCCUGAAUUGGUAAUUUUAAGGAAAUUUUGCUGUUUUUUGUUAUUAUCUUGAAUACUAUUAUAGAUAGAGAUAAUCUGUAAACAGCAAUAAUGUUCAGAAAAGUAAGAUUUACAAAUAAGUCAACAUGACUGAAAUGGUCAAUUGACCCCCUAAGGAGUUAUUGUCCUUUAUAGUCAAUUUUUUAAAAUUUUCAUAAAAUUUGUAAAUUUUUACUAACAUUUUCCACUGAAACUACUUGGCCAAGUUCAUUAUAGAUAAAGAUAAUUGUAAGCAGCAAGAAUGUUCAGUAAAGUAAGAUGUACAAACACUUCACCAUCACCAAAACACAAUUUUUCAUGAAUCUAUCUGCGUCCUUUGUUUAAUAUUCACAUAUACCAAGGUGAGCGACACAGGCUCUUUAGAGCCUCUAGUUUGUUGUAAUGUCAAAAGGUAGAAUGCAGAAUGUGAGAUAUAGGAUUGCUAAUCCUGCGAUAGACACAAUAACUCUUCAUAAAGCAUCUUAUUUCACAAAUAAAAAACUUGUCCAUUCGAUCUGAG